UGGCGAACGGCGGAGUAAUACAUAAGCAACGUGCCCCAAAGUCCGGGAUAGCCAGCCGAAAGGCUGAGUAAUACCGGAUGUGGCCCCUCGAAGGCAUCUUCAAGGGAUUAAACGGUUUUUCGCUUUGGGAGCGGCUUAUGGCCUAUCAGGUAGUUGGUGAGGUAACGGCUCACCAAGCCUACGACGGGUAGCGGGUCUAAGAGGAUGGUCAGCCACACUGGGACUGAGAUACGGCCCAG
rnacentral:rRNA from 1 species